UACCGACUAUGACCGAUACUCGUCAUGGGUUUGGUGGAAAGCUCCGGCGGUUUGGGAUGGGCCCGCGGCCUAUCAGCUUGUUGGUGGGGUAAUGGCCUACCAAGGCGACGACGGUAGCCGGCCUGAGAGGGCGACCGGCCACACUGGGACUGAGACACGGCCCAGACUCCUACGGGAGGCAGCAGUGGGGAAUAUUGCACAAUGGGCGCAAGCCUGAUGCAGCGACGCCGCGUGAGGGAUGACGGCCUUCGGGUUGUAAACCUCUUUCACCAGGGACGAAGCGAAAGUGACGGUACCUGGAGAAGAAGCACCGGCCAACUACGUGCCAGCAGCCGCGGUAAUACGUAGGGUGCGAGCGUUGUCCGGAAUUACUGGGCGUAAAGAGCUCGUAGGCGGUUUGUCGCGUCGUUCGUGAAAACUUGGGGCUUAACUCCAAGCGUGCGGGCGAUACGGGCAGACUUGAGUACUACAGGGGAGACUGGAAUUCCUGGUGUAGCGGUGAAAUGCGCAGAUAUCAGGAGGAACACCGGUGGCGAAGGCGGGUCUCUGGGUAGUAACUGACGCUGAGGAGCGAAAGC
rnacentral:rRNA from 1 species